UAGUGUUGUUGGGUAGGGGAGCGUUCUGUAAGCCUGCGAAGGUGUACUGUGAGGUAUGCUGGAGGUAUCAGAAGUGCGAAUGCUGACAUAAGUAACGAUAAUGCGGGUGAAAAACCCGCACGCCGGAAGACCAAGGGUUCCUGUCCAACGUUAAUCGGGGCAGGGUGAGUCGACCCCUAAGGCGAGGCUGAAAAGCGUAGUCGAUGGGAAACGGGUUAAUAUUCCCGUACUGGUGGUAACUGCGAUGGGGGAACGGAGAAGGCUAGGUUGUCCGGGCGACGGUCGUCCCGGUUCAAGCAGGUAGGCAGAGUGAUUAGGCAAAUCCGGUCACUUAAUGCUGAGAUGUGAUGACGAACCACCAAGGUGGUGAAGCAAUUGAUGCCCCGCUUCCAGGAAAAGCCUCUAAGCUUCAGGUUACCAACAAUCGUACCCCAAACCGACACAGGUGGUCAGGUAGAGAAUACUCAGGCGCUUGAGAGAACUCGGGUGAAGGAACUAGGCAAAAUGGUGCCGUAACUUCGGGAGAAGGCACGCUGGCGGUAGGUAAAGUCCCUCGCGGACGGCGCUGAAGCCAGUCGAAGAUACCAGCUGGCUGCAACUGUUUAUUAAAAACACAGCACUGUGCAAACACGAAAGUGGACGUAUACGGUGUGACGCCUGCCCGGUGCUGGAAGGUUAAUUGAUGGGGUUAGC
rnacentral:rRNA from 1 species